CUGCGCCGGUUGUGUCCCGUGAGGGACGGAGUUCCUGGGAGCCGUGUCCGGGAGGGCGUCGGGACAGGCCCCAGGCGGAGACGAUGUUUGGAAUGAGGCUUGGAAACUGUGCUCCUUGGGAGUGUGUCGGAACACCCGGAAAAAGAAAGGAGUGGUUUGGUGUGGUGUGACCCCGGGCUGCUGUCGGGCAGCGGGCUCUCAAACCCCAUUAAGCGGUUUGCUUAAAGUAUGAAGAUGAAGCUCUUCUGUUGGUGCAACCAAAGAGCAGACAUAUGAGAGGCUUAGAACUGCUCAGGAACAUUGGAACCAAACAGAUGCCUCAUUUGGAAUAUCUUGGAUUGGACAUUUUGAUAUAAAAUCAGAUUAGUGCUAAUACUUCUGCCUAAUGAGAAAAGGAAAAGAGAACUGCAGCAAAAACACUCUGAGUGAAGAGUCAACCUGCCCAGUAAGUCUGCUUUUUGGAAGCUGAGUUAGGAAGUGUGGAGAAGACUGGAGGAUAAUUAUGGGCUUGCUUCUCUUUCCUGUUGGGAGUGCCUCCAUGACAUGCUGAUUUUUAAAAUGUGAGUUCAUCAUUUGGAGCAAGAAUAACCACGAGAGAGAGAGGUAUCAUUGCAUAAUUCCUGGCUGCAUCAUACACGGAGUGGAUGAAGAAACUGAACAUUUGACUCUAGUUACAAUUCAGUUUCCAGCCAUUGCAGAGUUUUAGUGUGUCUCAUAUUCUGAUGCUGAGGACAACGCUGAGGAGACUGAGGGUAAAGGUUUUGUGUUCUAACAUAUAGAUAGGGAAGUGAUAUAGGGGAGUGGAGGAAGAGAAGGUUUAUAGUAUUCAGCUUCUUCCCAGCAGAGCUUCUAAUGACAAGUUGCACCAUCUAUUCUGCCUACAUAUCUUGCCCUAUGCAGAACAAAAAUGAGGAAAUACUUGCUAGAUGAUUGGUAAGAUGUUUUCUAGCAGUGUUGACAGAACUUAUCUUUCUGAUCUGACACUUCAGUGAUACUGUGUGUUUCAUACACAUAUGGUAUAUAGAUGUGGGAUUAUUUACAACUCUAUCAGAUCUGGAAAAAUGGUUGAAAGAGGCAUCCAAAUAGUAGAGAUUGUUGCCUCUUUUAAAUUUAAUUUUAUAACUGAAAAAGCACUGAGUGGUGGGGUUUUAAUAUAUUUAGAACUGAAAGUAUAUAUGUUGCCCAUGACUGGUAAGUGAAAUGUACUGCCACAGAAAGUCCUAGUUUAAAAAUGCUGAUUUUUAAAAAAUAGACUAGUUUUCUGAGCACUAAUGAUAUUUUUUAUCAUAGAGUACAGUUAAAUAAUGAGAUUGAAACAUCAUGCUUCAAUAGUUGUUGAAAGGGAAUUAAUUUUAGCCCCUAAGUCUCCUGUAGUUGUGUGUGGAAAAGGAACAGUGAGUUGCACAGCUACUGAAAUCUGCUUUGUAGUACUGGCUGUUGUAGGGCUGGCCAUAAUGUCAGGAACUUAAAUGAAUCUGAAAGAUCUUAUACUUCAGGGUCAAAUGUUCCUUUUAAGAAGUGAACAGCAACAAAAAAAGGUAUCUUGCACUAUAGUAACUACUGCUGGCUGUUCAGUAUUCAAACAAUUGCACAAAUGCCAGUGUCUUGUAUCAGAAGAUAGGCAGUUGGCAAGGCUGAGCUUUUACUUUUGAGGCUUUCACUGUGCUAAUUAGCAUGACUAAUUAAAAAUAACUGGAUUCCCUGAGGUUUGUUGCAUUUGCUUUUUAGCAUUAGAACAUUACUUUUCCACUGAAGUAUUUACUAGAGUUUUUACUGAGAUACAACUACAGGGAAUUCUGCUUAGACAGAAUUCAUGUUUUUAUAAUUAGAUUUUCAUUUUUCUAACUAGUUCAUAUUUAAAAGUAAGAUUUUGCAAUAUAUCUGUAGUUAGUAAAUAGGUCUUUUUCAAAGAGUUUAUUAUAUAUCUGUCAAUUUCUGAUUUUCAGAACAGACCUCAUGCAUAGCAAAAUUAUUUAGCAGUAUUUUAUUGUUUAAUUCUUUAUGGCUUGUUUCUCAUCAGUGUGCUGUGUGUUUGGAUCAAGUAGCCCUCACUGCCUGUGGAGCAUCUUCUAUAUGACCCAAUAGGUGAAAUAUUUCUGGUUAGCUCUGGUAAAUUCACGUUCCAUAUGUUACUGUGAUUUGAUGUUAGACUACUUUCAGUUCUUCAUAUUUCAAAGUCAUUAAGCAGCCUUCCUGCUUGAUUUCAGUGCCACUGCUUCAUGUGUUUAUUAGCUUAUUGUUUAAUUGUAAAAUAUAACUUUACCUCUGAGGAUAUUUAAAAGUCAUCAUACACUCUGCACUAGGUAUGAAGUAAUCUCCAUUUCCGGGCCUUAAUUGUUGCAUAACACUGCAAUGCACAGUGGUAGAACAGCUGCAACAUCCUGACUGAAAAUUCUGCAUUAUGUCUGAGGAGGGAGGAUGGUGUAAUCAGGCCAAUAUUGUGUCCUUGAGCACCCUGCAGUGUCUACAAAAUUACACAAACAUGCCAAUUUCAGACAGGAAGGAUUAUUCAUUGGAGGAAAUUUCCUGGGUAACCCAGCCAGGUUUGUGAGGCCAGUGGACAUUAUGAAAGGCUCUUACUAGGCAAUAGCUUUAUCUAGCAAGCUGUUUUCCUGCAAACAGAGAUUUGAUGAAAGAUCAGAGUGCCACACCUUGUGCACAGGUGUGGGAAGAUCAUUUACCAUUGUUUGGUUUGGUACCCAAAUGACGUUGCAGAUUUUUAAUUUGCUAAGAUGAUGAGCAGCCUGACCUCUGUCUCAGAGGGCCCAAAGGCAUACCUCAAAAUUAAUAAAAACCUUUAUCAUGGAGUAUCUUGCUGUCCUUUUCUAUUUCUCUUUUGAUUUAACUGCCUCUUCCACAGCUGUUGCUCUUAUUUUGACUCCCUGCAGUUCUCAGGGUGCAAUAUAUACAGCCAUGUACUCCAGUUACUGAUAGUUAUGUUUUGUUGAUUAUUUUGGCAGGAAUGCUUGUACAGCUGCUUCUUUUCUUUCCUAAAACUUCCCUGGGGACUGAAAUCUUUGUUCUGAUGACAGUGAGAAUAUUUUCAGCUUGUACAGAAGUCAGGUGGUUCUCCUAAAAGCACUACACUAGAGCAUUUUAGCCUACAGAAUUUAAAUAUACCAACUGUGAGACUGUUCAUAACAUGGCCAUCCUCUACAGCUUUAUGAUCCCCUGAACAAGGUGAGGGGUUAAGUUUAUAGCACAGCAUCAUCUUUCUUGGCUCUUAUUCUCUUCAUAGUGCCAGAGCCCAUACUGUAUGAACUGUGUAAAAAAAAAGAAAUAAAAAAUUCAGCUAGUUAUGCCUCCUUAGCAGAAUUAAAAAUUUUAAGGUGCCAUUAUUGGAUGAAUCAGGAACAGAUAUAGGUGAUAAUUGGCAACUGGAAGCAUUAAUUAAUUUCUCAAAUGAGAUAAAAGAAGAUGCAGAUGAUGAAAGAGAAGCCGUGGAACAGGUUGUUCAGGGAGAUUUUGCAGUCUCCAGACUUGGAACUGGAUAAAGCUUUGAGUAACCUGAUCUCAUAGCUGACUUUGCUUGGUGCAGGAAAAUAAGGAAGAGACCUUCUGAGCUCUUUUCCAAUAUGAAUUGUUGUAGUGUUGAAAAUUUUUGAGAUCAAGAAAAUAUUGAAAGUGUCUAACAUCUUACAAGGUUCGUAAAGCCUGCCACGAUGUAGCCUAAUUUUUAGCAGCAUGAUCUCCCUUGAAUCCAUGACCCUUCUUUCCAAUGAGCCUGCUUACAUCUCCUGCUUCUGCGAGAUGACCUGUGUGAAAUGCUACUUAAACCCCAUUUCUCUUAUUUACUGAUUUGCCACAGACUCAAGUGCAAAGAUUACACUUAUCAGUUAGCCCCAUGGCUGCAACAGAAAUUCUGUUUAACUUCUGUGAAGUUAUAGUGGAGAGAGAGAACAAGGACAGUGUCUACUGUAUUCAUUUUAUUUGCAGUAAGCCUUAUUUUCUUCUGCAUGCUUAACUAUUGAAAUUCAAGUCCUUCUUCCAUGCUGACAAUACUACUGAGAUCAAUUAAUCUGUUUUUCUUCCUUUUGUCACACUCUCUACUUUGACCUGGCUGGUGAAGCCACUUCCAUUGUUCUACUCCAGCCAUUCUUUAAUUUCCAUGUUUUUCUAAAACCCAUAAUAAAUGGCUUGCACCUUGCAUUUCAGAUGUUACUGUUACUCCACAUUCCCUAUUAUCUACUCUGAUCCUGCAGCUGUGACCUUUGCUGUAUGGCUGCACAGUCACUGCUCUAUCAGCUGCACUUCAUCCCACAAUUCCUGUGCAGAUUGCCCACCAAAAAGCUGUUGCAUAUCAGAAAGCACACAGCAAACACCUGCAAGGCAUGUGGUGGGGAGGGGGCUCUGAAGAACCUUCAGGGAAAGUGAUGUCUGACUAAACUUAAUACCUCUUUACUCAUUACACAGGGAUCUUCUUUCCUUGGGGAACUACUGUAAAGUCAGACACACUGGA